UUAAUUGAAACCAAAUAGAGGUAAUUCAUUGUUAAUGAAUUUAAUGAACUAAGUUCCAAUUAGA
rnacentral:tRNA from 1 species